AGCCCGGUCGUCUAGCUGGACAAGGAUGGGGGGCUUUGGACCCCUCGACGGGAGUUCGAAUCUCCCCCGGGCUACCA
rnacentral:tRNA from 1 species